CCUACGGGUGGCAGCAGUGGGGGAUAUUGCACAAUGGGGGGAACCCUGAUGCAGCGACGCCGCGUGGGUGAAGGAGCGUUUCGGCGCGUAAAGCCCUAUCGGCAGGGAAGAAGGAGGACGGUACCUGACUAAGAAGCCCCGGCUAACUACGUGCCAGCAGCCGCGGUAAUACGUAGGGGGCAAGCGUUAUCCGGAUUUACUGGGUGUAAAGGGGGCGCAGACGGCAGCGCAAGCCAGGAGUGAAAGCCCGGGGCCCAACCCCGGGACUGCCGUUGAAACUGCAUCCCUUGAGUGCGCGAGAAGUAUGCGGAAUGCGUGGUGUAGCGGUGAAAUGCAUAGAUAUCACGCAGAACUCCGAUUGCGAAGGCAGCAUACCGGCGCGCAACUGACGCUCAUGCACGAAAGCGUGGGUAUCGAACAGGAUUAGAUACCCCAGUAGUC
rnacentral:rRNA from 1 species